AAGAUCGACUUGUGGUCGUGGAACCUAUCAGUCGGGCAGCGGUGGCGGUGGAGAAUUUUUGGCACCUCGGCCGUAUCGUCGUGAAUUCACCGUCUUUCGGACGAGCUCCUCCACUCCUCCGUGAAAUCACCGUGUCCCAUCCCGAAGCCGAUCCACCGGGUUAAGGUCCUCGAUUAUUGUAUUACAGGUACAGGAACCCGCCCCUCAGUUUUUGCCAGGCUGAAUGAUGUUCUCAGUGUUCAUCUCAGCUUCAUUUUCAGUUUCAGUUAUAGAGCUUGAUGGCGUUGAAUGACGGCAUGUUGCAGGAUUUCUUCAAAGAAGGAACAUCGGCAGUCAAAUAGUAUUGGGGAAAACGUGUAACAAGAAUGGCAGGAAGGUAAAUGCGAUCCCCCUCUUCCAUACUGGUAAUUUUUUGGACCUAACAGCACCUUUCAAGAUUGAACUUAAGUUGCAUUUGCAACAUAUGAAAAAAUGUAAUGAGUAAUGACUUCUCUGUUCACUCCAACAUCAGGUAAAUAAUUUUUUUGAGAAUGUCUGCAAGCUUUCAGAGGAUGGUCACAAGUUUUGCGUGAAGACUGAAGAACAGCAGGCCAGUUAGCUUUGGGUAAGAAUAAGACCCAACCUUGUAACUUCUUUUUCGAACAUGGUACAAUCAUUCAUCGAUCCUAAACUAUGUUAUGUCUGUAUCGGCCCAAUCUAAUAGAAUUUGUUAUUGAG
rnacentral:lncRNA from 1 species